UUUUUUUCUUAACGGUGUACGAUAAAGCACCCAUACAACACAAUACCGAAAUCCAUAUUAUUCCAACCAUGCACAAGAGAAAUUUAUCCACCUUCCAUGUUCCAAAUCAAUUGUACAUACAUCUCCACCUCUACAACACAUAGUAAUACAAUAUCAAACAUUCCUAGAUAUUCAAUAUCCAAACUAAACCAUCAUUUCAAACUACUUUAAAUCACAAACAAAACUUGUGCCCUAUGGCACUACCGACGGGGCUCCGUUACCAGCCGCUCGGAUCCCAAUUCCGUCCUUACUCCACCUGUGAAUGAUGAGAAGUGAGUUCACAUAACUCAAUACGAUAAAAAUCAAGUUGUAAGUGUAAUAUGCAGUGACAAGAAUUUCCAGAAAUGUCUAUAUGCAUUUAUCCUACCCAACCCCAAACAACUCAUAACCCUCUCCCUAUACUAAUUAUCAAGAUCCUAUUCCAAGGAAAUAGCACGGCCAAACAACCCCACCCACCCAACAAUCAUCCAUUAACUCCCGUCACCAACAUCGGCGACUCAUACACUUUUCCCCCAUCUCCCGACCUCACGAGGCCACACACACACACACCCAACCACCUUCAUU
rnacentral:lncRNA from 1 species